rnacentral:rRNA from 1 species
UACGUAGGGUGCAAGCGUUAAUCGGAAUUACUGGGCGUAAAGAGUGCGUAGGCGGCUAUGUAAGACAGAUGUGAAAUCCCCAGGCUUAACCUGGGAACUGCAUCUGAUACUGGAUGGCUUGAAUCCGGGAGAGGGAUGCAGAAUUCCAGGUGUAGCGGUGAAAUGCGUAGAUAUCUGGAGGAAUACCGGUGGCGAAGGCGGCAUCCUGGACCGGCAUUGACGCUGAGGAGCGAAAGCUAGGGGGGCAAACGGGG